CUGAUUUUCCCAUCCAUUCCAAGGGUUUUUAGCCCCCUCGCCCUCGCCCUGCCGCGCCGCAGCAAUGGCCGCCGCCGCCGCAGCCGCCGCGAGAUCCUUCCUCCGAUCCGGAUCCGCCACCUCCUCCCUCCGCGGCGCGGCCGCCAGGGCCGCCUCCCGCUCCGGGCCGGCGGCCCCCUCGAGGCGGCUCCUCUCCUCCCCUCCCCGCGCCCGCCUCGCCCUAAGGUCGCCGCUGGAGAUGAGCAGCGCCUGCUUGGAGUCGCUGAUGCCCAUGCACAGCGCCACGGCCUCGGCGCUCAUGACGUCGCUCCUCGCCGCCCCGGCUCGCGUCGGUUCCUGCUGGAUCUCCGAAGCUGGCAAUGACGACCUGUGAAAAUAUCUAGGUGGAUGUAGCAGACUAAAUCCAGUCACCACAAAUAUUCAGACUUAUGAUGGGUGAGGACGGAGGUCUGGGAUGAAGAGACGCCCUGUUUAUUUUCGCCAGUAACUUUUAUGGUGUGAGUUGAAGAGCUGGAGCUUAGACUAUUCGUUUCUAUUUGUAGAUGAAUGAUCUCUUGUUGUGGGAGCCUGGUGUGACUGUUAUGGUAGCUGCUAAGGACCUCUCCCACUGAAUUUGAGCUACGUUUUUAAUCUGCCUUUCUUCUGGCUCUGUUCAGGGAUUUUGGUAUGUAUUAAGUGUCUGCAGGAUUAUAACAGAAUUUGGUGGCGUGCAAGAAAUAAUGUUCAGUUCAUGUCU